rnacentral:rRNA from 1 species
UCGUGGGAGAACCCGCAAGGGGGAAACCGGCGAACGGGGUAGGAUCACAUCGGUAACGAACCCUCAAGACGGGGAUAGCGGCGGGAAACUGCCGGUAAUACCCGAUGAUCUGGCGACACUGUGAUGGUUGCCAGCAAAGGUGAGAUUCCGCUUGAGGACCGGCUGAUGCGCUAUUAGCUAGUUGGUGAGGUUACGGCUCACCAAGGCGACGAUGGCUAGGGGGUGUGAGAGCAUGGCCCCCACCACUGGCACUGAGACACUGGCCAGACACCUACGGGUGGCUGCAGUCGAGAAUCUUCGGCAAUGGGCGCAAGCCUGACCGAGCGACGCCGCGUGCGGGAUGAAGGUCUUCGGAUUGUAAACCGCUGUCGGGAGGGAUGAAGUGUAUCGGGGCUAUCCCCGGUAUUUGACAGAGCUCCAGAGGAAGCACGGGCUAAGUUCGUGCCAGCAGCCGCGGUAAUACGAACUGUGCGAACGUUAUUCGGAAUCACUGGGCUUAAAGGGUGCGUAGGCGGUUUGUUAAGUCAGGUGUGAAAUCCCCCAGCUCAACUGGGGAACAGCGCUUGAAACUAGCAGACUUGAGUGAGGUAAGGGUGUGCGGAACUUCCAGUGGAGCGGUGAAAUGUGUAGAUAUUGGAAGGAACGCCGGUGGCGAAAGCGGCACACUGGGCCUUGUCUGACGCUGAGGCACGAAAGCUAGGGGAGUGAACGGGAUUAGAUACCCCGGUAAUCCUAGCCGUAAACACUGAGCACUGGAGGGGGGCAGGUUCGCCUCUCCCCCUCGUAGCGAAAGCGUUAAGUGCUCCGCCUGGGGAGUAUGGUCGCAAGGCUGAAACUCAAGGGAUUGACGGGGGCUCACACAAGCAGUGGAGCAUGUGGCUUAAUUUCGAGGCAACGCGAAAACCCUAUCCUG